rnacentral:rRNA from 1 species
CCCUUAGAUGUUCUGGGCCGCACGCGCGCUACACUGAUCGGUGCAACAAGCAUCCGUCCUUGGCCGACAGGCCCGGGCAAUCUUUGAACGCCGGUCGUGAUGGGGAUAGACCUUUGCAAUUUUUGGUCUUCAACGAGGAAUUCCUAGUAAACGCAAGUCAUCAACUUGCAUUGAUUACGUCCCUGCCCUUUGUACACACCGCCCGUCGCACCUACCGAUUGAAUGGUCCGGUGAAACCUCCGGAUUGGCGCGUGCCCUCGGGCGCCGCCGAGAAGUUGGUUAAACCUUACCAUUUAGAGGAAGCAAAAGUCGUAACA